CCACAGUGUUCAGGAUAAUUAGAGUUCAUUCUUAUCCAGUUAAGAUAACAAGUUAAUUCUGGGACAAGCAAACACAGGACAGUGUCAGGCAUGGGGGAAGAGACCAAUACAGCCUCUGCGAGAGCAACGCCUUUUGGAAAGGACGCAGCAGGGAGGCCCAGUUUAAAUGCUGCCUCUUCUAAGAAACCUGCCCCAGACCUCAUGCCAGUCUCUGCACUUCCCCUCUGACCUCCCCGAGCCAUCUCCUCCCUACCUGUGCACCUGUCUGCUCCCACCUGUGGACGGUAACCUCCUGGAGGAGAGGCACCUCGAACCAAUGAGCCUUCUCACAUCCGUCACCCAGGAGUGAUGCUAGGACAGGAAUGAAGCCCAGAAAGGGAGGCAAACUCCCCAAAGGCACACAGCUGGGAAGAGGAGCCUCACUGCCACUCCAGACCCCCGACAAGAAGGCCCUGGAAAUGAAUGAGCCCGUGCAGCAAGGCCCGGAGCGGCUCCCUCCUGGGGAAGACAGAGAUGAAACACCCCUGAACAAGGGGAAGGCCCAGCAUACUUCAAUCCGAGAACUGGGGAGAAGACAGCUUAAAUUGCUACAAUUUGUGAUCUGGACAUGAAUAUGUAUUUUUAUUGCAGCAUUUAUUACAUAGAGAACAACAAGUUUUGCUUAAAGCAAUCUCUAUAUCACUUGAUAGGAGCCCGACACAGUAUUUUGUGAGGCCCAGCUUCUGAAGAGAUAUUUUACAGAGAUUAACAAUGAAAAGUUAGAAUGUGUGCUCCUGGAGCUCAUUGGUGGAACUGCUCUGUCUCCAUCUUCCUCUCUGAGCCAGUUUGACACUGGGCUGCCACAUGACAAUGAUGCUCACAAAUGGCUUUUGUGCUCUACCUCAUGGGUACCUAUGCUCUGCUUCAGGUAGGCAGCCUAAGUUGAGUGAGAGGAUCCACAGAAUGGCACACUUCUGUACCAGUGUAAUGGGAGGAAAUGUGUGUGCUCAUGGCAUUAUCUAUAGAGCAAAAUGAUUAGACAGACGAAUUAAAUCAUUCACCAGAUAUGUGUAUAUUAAGACAUACAGGAAGUGCAUUUCUCACCAAAAACUUGUGGGCGGCAACAUUUAUGAUUAUCUAGUUAUGGUAUCUGUUCUGCCUGAACUCUGGUCUCAGCCUCAAUUCAGGUAAGCGCCACCAGUCCCUGGGGCCAGUGGAUGGAGCAGAGGGGACUGAGGGUCCCAGGCAGCCGCACUCACAGGUGGCCAGAGGCCACCACACAGCACCUUAGCCAAGAGGCUAUCUUCCUCCCAGACAGAAAUGAGAAAUGUGCAGAUUCCUGGAGAGCAGCGCAAGUGCUGGGAAGCAGCUAGACCUGCUUAGAGCAGAGUAGCAGACUAAAGAUCUCCAUUCCUCAGGCCCCAGAGCCUCCCGAGUUCUCAAUGGGCAUCUACUUCCUCUCUUAAUGGAUUCUGACCUCCUUAAACCCUCCCUGCUUGCAUUUCCCUGGGUUUCGCAUGUUCAUCCUUAGAGUCAACGUGAACCCCCCACCCGGCUCUCAUCCCUCAAUUAUUUGAAUGAACUUGAAGGAUGUGUUUUGUCGGGGACGUCUAUGGUUUUUCCUGAAUUGCAUCCAUUUCCUUUGUUAAAGCUACAGAUUCAUGCCAUGGUAUUCAGGGCUUUGAGUGAGGACCCCUUCCCUUGAAAGGUUAUAGUCUAGAUUAUUUAAAGCUUAAACCUUUAGCUGGGCGUGGUGGCACACACCUGUAAUCCCAGCAUGCUGGGAGGAUGUGGCAGGGGGGUCGCAAAUUCGAGCCCAGCCUGGGCAAUUUAAAGACUUAGCCAGACCCUGUUUCAAAAUCAAAAAUUAAGAAAAGGGCUGAGGGUGUGGCCCAGUAUGCAAAGCCCCUGGGUUCAAUCCCAGCCCCACAAAUAAUACAAUAAAGUGGAAACUUAAAAUCUUCUCGCUGGUGGCUCUAUGGGCA
ensembl:lncRNA